rnacentral:rRNA from 1 species
AGCGAACGCUGGCGGCAGGCCUAACACAUGCAAAUCGAACGGAUCCUUCGGGAUUAGUGGCGGACGGGUGAGUAACACGUGGGAACGUGCCCUUUGGUUCGGAACAACUCAGGGAAACUUGAGCUAAUACCGGAUGUGCCCUUCGGGGGAAAGAUUUAUCGCCAUUGGAGCGGCCCGCGUCUGAUUAGCUAGUUGGUGAGGUAACGGCCCACCAAGGCGACGAUCAGUAGCUGGUCUGAGAGGAUGAUCAGCCACACUGGGACUGAGACACGGCCCAGACUCCUACGGGAGGCAGCAGUGGGGAAUCUUGCGCAAUGGGCGAAGGCCUGACGCAGCCAUGCCGCGUGAAUGAUGAAGGUCUUAGGAUUGUAAAAUUCUUUCAGCGGGGACGAUAAUGACGGUACCCGCAGAAGAAGCUCCGGCUAACUUCGUG